rnacentral:tRNA from 1 species
CUCCGCUUGGUGUAGUUGGUGUAAGUUCUACAGUCCGCACAGCUCGUGCGACCACCCGUCUAACUCUUUGCAGUUAUCACGUUCGACUGUAAAUCGAAAGGUCCCUAGUUCGAUUCUGGGAGCGGAGA